rnacentral:rRNA from 1 species
AUGAGAGGCCUCAUUUGGAACUGUAGAGGGGCAGGCAAGAAAGGGAUGGCCACCUGCCUCUCUGACCUGAUUAGUGACCAUUCCUUAGACUUUGGAGACUAUGAAAAAAAGUUUUCCCCUAAAUGCAUUAGGAGGAUUGAUCCUUUUGGUCUGUUUCAUUGGGAAUGGAUCCCAUCUGCUGGGAAAUCUGGGGGUAUCCUGAGUGGUGUGAGACAUGAUACUUUUGAUGUUAUUUCCUGUAAUAAAGGCAAAUAUAUUUUGCAAAUGGUGAUACGUGACAAAAAGAUUAAGAAAGACUGGGGGUCUCAUGGUAGUGUAUGGAUCUGCUCAUGA